AGUGGAAUUGCAGGAGAGUGGAAGAGGGCAGAACCUAAUGUGAAUGCAAGAACCUGCCAAGAAAACCAAUGGCCAAGAUGAUUGAUGAGUGCAGGACCUGAGAGAACCCCUGUAAGUGACAACCUCGAGUAGUUUCCAGUAUUGGAUUUAAAAGAUGGCCUUUGCUGCAUCUCCUGGAGCGAGGAAAGCCAAGAAACCUUUGCUUUUGCAGGAGAAAAUGGGGAAAGCGGGAAGGAAGAAGAGAAGCCCCGUGACUCCUCCCUGAGCCCCAGACAGCCCAGGAACUGCUUCCCUGGGAAUGGUGGCACGGGCUGGACUCUGGAUUGCUCCCUCUGGAUGUGUGUGGGAUGGAGCCUGGAAACUGCCCAGAGCUGAGCCAAGGGAUUUCAAGGGACCAAGCAAGGGAGGUGAAGAAAGAAGGAAGAAGGGAACUGAGGCAGCAGCCAAGCAACACCAAGUUGCUGUGUCAGCAGUGGGAUGUACCCUAGAAACUGCCUGGAGCUGAGCCAAGGAACUGAAAGGGACUGAGCAAGCAAAGUAAAGAAAGAAUGAAGAAGGGAACUGAGGCAGCAGCCAAGCAGCACCGAGCUCCUCUACAACCAGGUGAGUUGUCUUGAAGUUGAUAAGGUGGUCACUGAGAACUUUGGGGGCUGCAGGCACAGGUGAGCACCAGAGACCC